UUGCACAGAACACAGGAACGGCAAUCCCAACAGACUCUCUGGGGCCCACUGAUUCACGCAGGUGUUUGGGACCAUUUUGUUGAUAAGUCUCCAGCACCAGGCAAGGGGCAACAGCUUGGAAGAUCAGUGCCUGCCAUCCUCUUGCCCUUAUCCCAGGAACACUGGAAGUCACAGUCUGUUCCAGGUUAAUUGAUGACAAAGCAGAGACUGGAGUUACUGUCUGCUAAUAAGGGCCAUCCAACCCAGAAACAAGAAGACAAGCCGGGUCCUUGCAAGUAAGGAAGGUGCUAUAAACCCAAGUGCCUGUGAGAUCGACAACCCCCCCCCCCAAAAAAAUGAAAGAGCAACAGUCACUUGUUCUACAACUGCUGGACUUGGAUAUCAACUUGAGCAGAUGAAAGGACACUCUGAGUGUUUUCUAACUGGGCUCAGGACUCGUCUCUUCGUGUGAUUUCAAGGGACUGGUAUGUGCACACAAUGUACACAUGGCCACAAGGACCACAACACACCCAUGGAAGUCAAAGAACAACUUCGUGGAGUCUGUUUCCUUCUUCCACCUUCACUUGGGUUCCAGGAAUCAAACUCGGGUCACCAUGUUUGUACAGCAAGCCCCUUUACCCUAUGAGCCAUCUCAUCAGCCCCAUUUUUCCCUGUACCUGUUGGCCUUCAGUAGGUCUUUUGAAAAAAAAUGUCUACUGAGAUGCUUAACCCAUUGUUUACUGGGCUAUUCUCUUUCUUGUUUUUUUUUGGGGGGGAGGGGGGCUUCUUAUAUCUUUUAGACAAGACCCACCUGUCAGCCUGCAUGUUUGCAAAUAUUUUCUCCCACUCUGUAGGUUAUCUCUUCGCUCGGUGAGUUGCUUCGUCUACAAUGCAAAGCACUUCAGGCUAAUGAGAUCCCAUUUGUCUGUGGUGGCUUUCCCUGCCUGUACUUUCA
rnacentral:lncRNA from 1 species